GGAAGCCGUGCUCUUGCAAAGUAACCAGAAAUCUGCUCAUUUUAAACGUUACAUUUACGAAGACACAAAUACUGUCAGCGCUUUAAAAUAUUACUAUUUAGCUCAUGAACAGUUUGGAAUUGCUUUGAAGAGGUGCCUAAGGCCAUGGAAAUCACCGAAAGAUAUGUUUUGGUUUAAAGACAUAGUUUCAAGACUGGCUCCAGUUUCAAGUCUGGCUACAGGGUGUGGCAAGAUGUACAUCGAGAACAGCAUCAAGACCAAAUUUCAAGAUUGGGCUUCAUUGUACGAGUGUUAGGAACCUCAAAGAAAUUUCAAGAUAUGCUUGAUCUCCAAGACUUCUUCAGUAUCAAGACUAAGAAGAGUUGGGCUGGGUAAUGCUACAUGCUAGGCUUAGUUCUGGUUAAUAUUUUUUUGAGAUCAAGUUCAUUAAUUACAAUAUGAUGAAGAGUAUAACAUUACUAUUAUGAAAUAAGUGCUGACAAGGGAGUAGGAACCAUUUGUUUUGCAUACUUUUGAUGGUAUUAAUGUAAUAUGUCUGACAUUAUGGCAAAAUCUAUUGACUUCAAGAGAGUUGUAGAGAAAGAGGAUAGUGUUGUAUACAAGGCAGCCGAAAAUAUGGAAGAUGAAUCAAAUUGGAAGGAAGUGUUAAAUACCGGGCCUGACGACAGUGUAUCCAGGGUGUCUUAUAGGUCACAGGUAAAAGAUUCUUGUGCUAUGAGUAUAUUAAAAGAAGUGAAUCAGGCUAAGGUCCUGAUUUGACCAACCCAUUAGUCCAGAUAUUAUUUAGGUUCCAUCAAGGUCAUUUUGCAUUCAUUUUGCAUUCAAGUUGGUGUUCCAGAAAAGGAUGGGGGUUAUUUAAGUUUUUUUGUGGUGGCCAGAUGGAAAUAUCGAACAGGCUGUAAGUGAAUAUCGCAUGGCUGUUCCCCCAUUUGCAGCAAAGUCUUGUCCUAGUUCUAAUUUUGCUCCACAGAGAACAGCAAAGGAUUUUGAAGUGAAUAUUUGCCAGAAGUUCAAAAGACCAUAUUUAGCAAUUUUUAUGUUGGUGAUUGUCUGAAGUCAAUGGAUAUGGAAGAUGAAUCCAAUUUUUAGUAAUGAAUUGUUGCAUGUAGGUGGCAGGCUUACAAAGGCUCCAUUAAGACAUGAUAACAAGCAUCCAUUUUGUCAAGUAAACACCAUGUUACAGAUAUGAUCAUCAGAGAUUGUCAUGAGAGAGUGAGUCACCAAGAGCGUGAACAUGUCUUGAGUUCACUUAGAGCAGUGUUGUCCAAACAUUUUCGCCUAUUGUACCCUUUAUUAUCUUCUUGUGCUGUUACGUAUCCAUGGCUAAACAAACGGUUUUAUUUAGGACAGUGCAAAUAAUAUACUAAUUAUGAAAAGAUGGGAUUGCAGGAGUGUUGGUCAAUAAAUUCGAAUUUAAGACACGAAU